rnacentral:rRNA from 1 species
GACGAAGGGGGCAAGCGUUGUUCGGAAUUACUGGGCGUAAAGGGCGCGUAGGCGGUUCUUUAAGUCAGCUGUGAAAGCCCCGGGCUCAACCUGGGAACUGCAGUUGAUACUGUCCGACUAGAGUACGAGAGAGGGAGGUAGAAUUCCAUGUGUAGCGGUGAAAUGCGUAGAUAUAUGGAGGAAUACCAGUGGCGAAGGCGGCCUCCUGGCUCGAUACUGACGCUGAGGUGCGAAAGCGUGGGGAUCAAACAGG